rnacentral:misc_RNA from 1 species
GAAAUGCGAUAAGUAGUGUGAAUUGCAGAAUUUAGCGAAUCAUCGAAUCUUUGAACGCACAUUGCGCCCCUUGGUAUUCCAUGGGGCAUGCCUGUUCGAGCGUCAUUUCAACCCUCAAGCACUGCUUGGUGUUGGGCGUUUGUCCCGCCUACGCGCGUGGACUCGCCUCAAAGUCAUUGGCGGCUGUUCUCCUUCGGCUCGUAAGCGCAGCACAGUCGGCGCCCGGAGCUCUGGUGGGAUGGCGUCCAGCAAGCUAUAUUUUCAGGCUUGACCUCGGAUCAGGUAGGGAUACCCGCUGAACUUAAGC